CCAUAAAAGACCUAAAAUUACUAGUGGCCUUAGGUUUCUAAAAAUAGCAAAAAAAGUAAACGGUCAUGAUACAUAUUCAAAUUCAUUUCUGAAUAGUAAAAUGAAAGUACUUCAGUUAAGUGUGAAUGUAGAUUUUUUUGCAGUGUUAGAAAGUGGUGAAAAUUCUAAAAAGGCUAUCAUUAUCCCAAUGGGCCAGGAAAUACUACCGUGCCACCUUUACGAUCACCUUUGUGAAACACUCGUAGCUAAAAUCUUCCGCUUAGCGAAAGUUGAAUCGUAAACGUAAAUCGUUCGAUUUUUUUGUGAAACGAUAGCCAGAGUACAGAAAUUAUAAUAGCACAAUGACGGGAUUUUUAAGUACAGAGGCCGUCAUAUGUAACAAAGAAUCAUAAAAGGGCAUAUAGACCGAGC
rnacentral:lncRNA from 1 species